GGAUAACUCCGGGAAACCGGAGCUAAUACCGGAUAGUUCCUUGAACCGCAUGGUUCAAGGAUGAAAGACGGUUUCGGCUGUCACUUACAGAUGGACCCGCGGCGCAUUAGCUAGUUGGUGAGGUAACGGCUCACCAAGGCGACGAUGCGUAGCCGACCUGAGAGGGUGAUCGGCCACACUGGGACUGAGACACGGCCCAGACUCCUACGGGAGGCAGCAGUAGGGAAUCUUCCGCAAUGGACGAAAGUCUGACGGAGCAACGCCGCGUGAGUGAUGAAGGUUUUCGGAUCGUAAAGCUCUGUUGUUAGGGAAGAACAAGUGCAAGAGUAACUGCUUGCACCUUGACGGUACCUAACCAGAAAGCCACGGCUAACUACGUGCCAGCAGCCGCGGUAAUACGUAGGUGGCAAGCGUUGUCCGGAAUUAUUGGGCGUAAAGGGCUCGCAGGCGGUUUCUUAAGUCUGAUGUGAAAGCCCCCGGCUCAACCGGGGAGGGUCAUUGGAAACUGGGAAACUUGAGUGCAGAAGAGGAGAGUGGAAUUCCACGUGUAGCGGUGAAAUGCGUAGAGAUGAGGNGUUAACCACCAUGGGGCGGAGGCGACUCUCUGGUCUGUAAACUUGACGCUGAGGAGCGAAAGCGUGGGGAGCGAACUUGUAUUAGAUACCCUGGUAGUCCACGCCGUAAACGAUGAGUGCUAAGUGUUAGGGGGUUUCCGCCCCUUAGUGCUGCAGCUAACGCAUUAAGCACUCCGCCUGGGGAGUACGGUCGCAAGACUGAAACUCAAAGGAAUUGACGGGGGCCCGCACAAGCGGUGGAGCAUGUGGUUUAAUUCGAAGCAACGCGAAGAACCUUACCAGGUCUUGACAUCCUCUGACAACCCUAGAGAUAGGGCUUUCCCUUCGGGGACAGAGUGACAGGUGGUGCAUGGUUGUCGUCAGCUCGUGUCGUGAGAUGUUGGGUUAAGUCCCGCAACGAGCGCAACCCUUGAUCUUAGUUGCCAGCAUUCAGUUGGGCACUCUAAGGUGACUGCCGGUGACAAACCGGAGGAAGGUGGGGAUGACGUCAAAUCAUCAUGCCCCUUAUGACCUGGGCUACACACGUGCUACAAUGGACAGAACAAAGGGCUGCGAAGACCGCAAAGGUUUAGCCAAUCCCACAAAUCUGUUCUUCAGUUCGGGAU
rnacentral:rRNA from 1 species